rnacentral:tRNA from 1 species
GGGGUUAUAACUCAGUGGGAGAGUGCAACACUGGCAGUGUUGAAGUCGAGGGUUCGAAUCCCUCUAGCUCCACCA